rnacentral:lncRNA from 1 species
ACCCGCCAGCCCCGCGCUCUACCAGGCAGAGCGCGUGUGGCCGCCGAGCACAUGGACCCACUGGUCAAGCGGGCUCGGCAAGGCCAGGAUGAAGAGAAGCUACGAACUUAGCAUUCCCAGAGCCCCCCGAGUGGAUAUCCGCGUGGAAAGGAUGUUGGCAGCCCCGGUGACCUCGGAGUCACGGCUGGAUCCACCCUCUUGUCUGAUUUUCUUAACUCUACUACGGUAAGAAGAUGCCCUCCAUCAGCAGGCCGUGUCUGCUGGGACCUCUCUGGAGACUUCCUGAACCCUGUGGAUUUACAGUAAGAUGCAGUUUCCUGGGGAGUAAUUCUGGUGGAUACAAAUUCCGGAGUAUUACACCUGGCUUGCCUGGAGAUGUUACAAGUAGCUGGAUGGAUUCUUCAGCCUGGAUGCCCACUGAAAACAAGGACCGAAACUAAGAGGAUUGUAUCUCUACCCUUGACUCAAUGAGAAUGUUUGUUGUCAUCUCUCGGGCUACCUGGAGCUCCCUCUAAAAUUAUACCCUUUAAGCGUUCCAGAAGGAUUUUGAGAUCCUUUCCUAAAUCAAAGGUGGAAUAUUUGGGGAUUUGGAAAAUUGAGAUGUGAAGCGUUGACUUAAGAGAUGCCAAGUAACUCAGCAGAUGUCACACAGACGAUAAAUAGCAAAGAUGGAAGUCUUCAUGCCGGAGGCAAUCCUAUAAGACAGCUGAGUUCUGCAGAGCUGGAGACAGACUUGCUCAGGUGAUAGAUCCAGCCAUGAUACUGACCCUAAGAGAAUGAGACGCUCUGCAGAAGACAGAAGAUUCCUGAAACUGGGAAAGGUGCCUAGAAAUCCUGAUAAGAGUGAAGAAGGAGCUGGCAGAGCAGCCUUCCUCCGCACUAUGAAAGACAUCCAACAGAGAGCAAGUUCCCACCUCACUUCCAGCUUGACUCCUUUUUAUCUCCUAACUGUGGUCUGUGAUGUCUUCAGCAAUGGUAUUAACUAGUUCUGGGUACCUGGAGGCACAGCAGCCAUGUUGAACCUAUGAGGUGAUGAAAAACCAUGCAACUAGAAACCAGAAUGGAAGAAAAGAAGAAGCUGGAUCCUUGACUGAAUUGUCGAUGGGGGAUAGUCCAUCAUCCCAGGGCUAAGACCACCUCCAGAUUUCUUGUUUGGUGAAACAAGUCCUGAUUGUUUACAUUCCCUCGUGUUGAGCUGUCUCUUGCUUGUAGCUGAAAGCAUUUCUAAUAGAUAUUCAGAUUAUCAGCCUUAGCUCCAAGCUAGAAUACUCUAUGGGACCUUAGCUUCUCCAUGAAUUCCUUUGCUCAUCUGUGUAAUGCUCAAUAAAUGUAAAUUGAACCCUGAAUGAGGGACAAUGACACUAUUGAAGUCAUGAUUGUCAAUCUUAUUAACGGACUAACUACUUAACAAAAAGGUUGGAACACUGCCUGACGCACAGUAAGCGGCUGGGGAAAGGGUUUGCCAAAUGGAGUGACAAGAAAACAGUCAUGUUUAUAGGCUUUCUUUUACAUCUUGAUCCAUCUUCAAGCCUCUGUGGUCUUUAAGCAGAACCUUGACCCCUUCAGUACUGGGGCUCCUGGAGCAUGACACGCCCCCUAAACUCUUGUCUCAAAACACCCACUCUAGCAGUUUCUUUUUGACAAAAAAAAAGCCUUCUUAGUGAAUGCUGGCUUGUGAAAAAGAAGGGGCUGUGAUCAUCAAAUCGUGUUAGUAGAUGACCAAAAUACCCAAAGCAAUUCAUGCAAAUAGAUUCAAGUCUCUCUGGGCAAGCCUUCCUGAAGGCUCUAGAAUUUCUGAAGCUCAUUUUUGAAAGGGUCUUUCCAUAUGGUGGCCUUUUUCUUUUUUGCACCUCCUCCCUUCUUUCUCAUCAGAGCUAAAGGGAUGCUCAGACUCUCUGUCCUUUCUGUGUAGUGAGGGACCAGGCUGCUGGGCGAGUGUGAAGGAGCGAGUGUGAUUUGGGAUAUUCUUUUCUGGUAUGGCAAUGGCCAGCCUUUAGAGAGGUCAUUUGAAGUUGGCCAACAAGUAGACAUUAUUUCAAAAUAGUUCUUGAUCAUUAAAGAACCAACCAGUAUGUCUUAAAAACAAACAAACCAAUCUUUUGGAAAGUUUCUGCUGAAUGUGUGCCCUUCCGACUCACUUCUUAUCCUUUCUGUCAGAAACACCCCAGAAAAGGGGGUCUUGCCUUUGAACCACUCUGCUACUUUAAUCUUCCUGCUUCUGUCUGACCUACCUUCCUUCUUUCAGUAGCCAGGAUCCUUUCAGAGUGAGCUCCAAAAGGUGGGGAUUCUCCAGCCACGAGUGCCCUCUGAAAUUCUAUCUUACUUAGAAUAAAAUAUCUAGAUUUAUACAGUGUCCCCUUGUAUGGGUGGUGGCUUUUUUUUUUUUUCUAUCAUUUUCCUGCUUGUUCACACCACUCUCUCCCUGGCCUUCUUAUGUCACAGAUUUCCUGAGUACACUCUGGCCUCAGUCUUUCCAUGAAGUAACUCUCCUUUCUAGAACAUUCUUGCCUGCAUAACUAUCUGCUUCUGUCCUCACUGUAUUCUGAUCUGUAUUUCUAUGUCAAUUUCCAGACAGGCAUUCUCUGCCCAUCCUCUAAAGUGUGCCCCCUGUCUUCUUUGCUGUUACCUGUAUGCCCUAAGUCUAAGUCACUGACCUUAUUGUAGACUAAAUUUGUUAGCAUUUCUUUCCAGGAUGCAAGCCUAGUGAUGAAGGAGUCAUUGUUCCAUUGUCAGAAUAGCUACAGAAUCCAGCCUGUUCUGCCCUGGAUGCUUUAUUAAGUAAUGAAGCUCAAUAAAACAAUUUGACCAA